UACGAAGGGGGCUAGCGUUGCUCGGAAGUACUGGGCGUAAAGCGCACGUAGGCGGAUUGUUAAGUCGGGGGUGAAAUCCUGGAGCUCAACUCCAGAACUGCCUUCGAUACUGGCGAUCUCGAGUUCGGGAGAGGUGAGUGGAACUGCGAGUGUAGAGGUGAAAUUCGUAGAUAUUCGCAAGAACACCAGUGGCGAAGGCGGCUCACUGGCCCGAUACUGACGCUGAGGUGCGAAAGCGUGGGGAGCAAACAGG
rnacentral:rRNA from 1 species